rnacentral:lncRNA from 1 species
UUCACGUGGUAUCGCAUGAGGAUGCUAGAACACGCUCAAGGCAGCUCUGCAGCUAUGGGGCACGUGUUGUUGGUGGAACAGGUUAGACUUUCUGAAUGACCACAGCGAUAUUUGGGUCUGCAUGCCCUUCCAUCCUUGCCAUUCCCCAUCAGGACAGGAAGUCUUACUUCCCACUUCUUGAAAUGGGAUGCGUAUUUGUGGACGCUUUCGAUGAAGAGAGACCACUUUCUGUAGAGACUGGAUCGUGUUCACCACCAAUAGUCUAGUUUUUACCGUCACCAUACCUACGUGCCCCUUGGAAUUCUGAAUAAAGUUUGGACAAGCGGUCCCAGUCCAAGUUGCAGAUUUGUGAAGAAAAUACGACAUCCCAGGACGGCUCCCUCUGGCUCAUCGUGAUGACCAUCACGGCCAACACUUGUCAUGGGCACGACUCCACCCCGGAUCCUGGACACACCGUUCGGACACACAGGGUUGUUGAUCUCCUUAAGCAGACUUAGAGACCCACAGGAUUUGUGUUUUCAAGGCAGGACUCUGGGAAGUCGAUUCUUGAUUCUGAGCCAGACUCACCGCGAGCUUUAG